AACUUUCAGCAACGGAUCUCUUGGCUCUCGCAUCGAUGAAGAACGCAGCGAAAUGCGAUAAGUAAUGUGAAUUGCAGAAUUCAGUGAAUCAUCGAAUCUUUGAACGCACCUUGCGCUCCUUGGUAUUCCGAGGAGCAUGCCUGUUUGAGUGUCAUG
rnacentral:rRNA from 26 species